rnacentral:rRNA from 1 species
UACGUAGGGUGCGAGCGUUGUCCGGAAUUAUUGGGCGUAAAGAGCUCGUAGGCGGUCUGUCGCGUCGAUCGUGAAAACUUGGGGCUUAACCCUGAGCUUGCGGUCGAUACGGGCAUGACUGGAGUUCGGCAGGGGAGACUGGAAUUCCUGGUGUAGCGGUGAAAUGCGCAGAUAUCAGGAGGAACACCGGUGGCGAAGGCGGGUCUCUGGGCCGAUACUGACGCUGGAGGAGCGAAAAGCGUGGGGAGCGAACAGG